AAAUCAAAUCAAAAUUCCAUGAAUAUUCAUACUCCAUUAGUGUGUAAUUAAUUUGUUUGAUAAUAUUAUAAAAUUAAUUAGUAUGUGCGUUUAGUAAACCUAAUUGUGUUUAUAUAAAUAUAUAUACAUUUAUAUUCCAUUCCUAAUGUUAAUUGGAUUAGUAUAAAUAUGUAGAUUCAUUGGAUUUUGAAAAGAUGAUAUAAUAUCUUUUCAAAAAAAAGAAAUUAAUAAGACGACGGUUUCUUUUUGAUUGGAAUUUUUAGUAAAGAUAGGAAAAUAAAAUUACGUAGCUCAAAAAAAAAUAAGAGAAAUAGAAAAUUAAGAAAUUAAAAAAAGAAAAAAAAUAUUGGUAUAUCCAAAAAAAAAAAAAAAAAAAUUAGAAAGAAAGAAGGAGAUGAGGAAUAAUAGUUGUUACAGAUUUUUUUACAAAUUUUAUAGUUUAUCAGAAAAUACAUAUUUGAGGGAGGUUUGACUGGAAUAGUUGACAAAAUGGGUGAGAGAUGAGCCUCCAAAUUAUGGAUGUCGCUCAACACCUAAUGGUCGUGACCGUAGGCGAUGGUGACUAUGGUGCGGUAAGUGAUCUGGAAUUGUGAAUUUUAUCAUAUCCUACGUACAAGCAUAUGUCCUCGUUCUCCGUGACGACAACGCCGAUAGGAUUUGAGAUUUGGCUAAGGGAUUUCUAUAGAUGAGUUACGAUCGUUGUUGAUUCGUGGUGGCCAGUGGAAUGGGAAUGGGAAUCGGAAAGAGGAGAUGUUGUUGUGGGUUUCUUGUUCUCCGACUGAAUGGACGGAAUCGGUUCGGGUUGCGAUGGUGUCGUCUUGGCUGAAGUGGUUGUUGCAUCGGUUCGGAAGUGAUUGUUUAUCUAUACUUUAAAACACAAAAAGUUCACAUAUUGCAGAAGAUCUGAAUUCAUUGGUUACUUCUUAGUCAUUCAAGCAGAAGCUUCAGUCUUAAUGAUAGUGCUGGAUUGGUUUUACACGUUGUUCUUUCUCUUUUGUUAUGUGGAGUCUGAUUAUUUAAUUUUGGUUUUUGUUUUUCAAAAGCGCUCUUUCUUUUGAAAUGAGCUAGAUUUUUUUAGAUUUUUUUGCUACUUUGCUUUCCAAUUUUACUAAGGCAUUCUUAGUUCAUGUUCGUUUUUCAUGAAUUAGUUGUGCAUGCACUUAGGGUAAAUAGUAAAUUAGGUUAGAUUGAGGAUUAUACAUCUUUUCUUAUUGAUUUGUAUUAAACUCUUGGUUGUUGUUAAUAAGAGUUUAAUUUCAAAAAGAAAAAAGAAAUUAAUAAACAUUUAAAUUAAAUAA